rnacentral:rRNA from 1 species
UUCGCCCUUAGAGUUUGAUCCUGGCUCAGGACGAACGCUGGCGGCGUGCCUAACACAUGCAAGUCGAACGGAGAUGUUUAUUUCGGUAGAUAUCUUAGUGGCGCACGGGUGAGUAACGCGUGAAUAACCUGACCCGAAGAGGGGGAUAACACCUGGAAACAAGUGCUAAUACCGCAUAAGACCACGGACCGGCAUCGGUCAGAGGUCAAAGGAGGAAUCCGCUUUGGGAGGGGUUCGCGUCCCAUUAGGUAGUUGGUGAGGUAACGGCCCACCAAGCCGACGAUGGGUAGCCGAGCUGAGAGGCUGAUCGGCCACACUGGAACUGAGACACGGUCCAGACUCCUACGGGAGGCAGCAGUGGGGAAUAUUGGGCAAUGGGCGCAAGCCUGACCCAGCAACGCCGCGUGAGGGAAGAAGGUUUUCGGAUUGUAAACCUCUGUCGCAGGGGACGAAGGAAGUGACGGUACCCUGUAAGAAAGCCCCGGCUAACUACGUGCCAGCAGCCGCGGUAAUACGUAGGGGGCGAGCGUUGUCCGGAAUUACUGGGCGUAAAGGGAGCGUAGGCGGUCGAUUAAGUUAGAUGUGAAACCCCCGGGCUUAACUUGGGGACUGCAUCUAAUACUGGUUGACUUAGAGUACAGGAGAGGGAAGCGGAAUUCCUAGUGUAGCGGUGAAAUGCGUAGAUAUUAGGAGGAACACCAGUGGCGAAGGCGGCUUUCUGGACUGACACUGACGCUGAGGCUCGAAAGCGUGGGGAGCAAACAGGAUUAGAUACCCUGGUAGUCCACGCUGUAAACGAUGAAUACUAGGUGUAGGGGGUAUCAACUCCCUCUGUGCCGCAGCAAACGCAAUAAGUAUUCCGCCUGGGGAGUACGGCCGCAAGGUUGAAACUCAAAGGAAUUGACGGGGGCCCGCACAAGCAGCGGAGCAUGUGGUUUAAUUCGAAGCAACGCGAAGAACCUUACCAAGUCUUGACAUCCUUCUGACCGGUACUUAACCGUACCUUCUCUUCGGAGCAGGAGUGACAGGUGGUGCAUGGUUGUCGUCAGCUCGUGUCGUGAGAUGUUGGGUUAAGUCCCGCAACGAGCGCAACCCCUAUCUUUAGUAGCCAGCGGUUUGGCCGGGCACUCUAGAGAGACUGCCAGGGAUAACCUGGAGGAAGGUGGGGAUGACGUCAAAUCAUCAUGCCCCUUAUGAGCAGGGCUACACACGUGCUACAAUGGCGUAAGCAAAGGGAGGCAGAACCGCGAGGUCGAGCAAAUCCCAAAAAUAACGUCUCAGUUCGGAUUGUAGUCUGCAACUCGACUACAUGAAGCUGGAAUCGCUAGUAAUCGCGAAUCAGAAUGUCGCGGUGAAUACGUUCCCGGGUCUUGCACUCACCGCCCGUCA